rnacentral:rRNA from 1 species
AUUGAACGCUGGCGGAAUGCUUUACACAUGCAAGUCGAACGGCAGCACGGACUUCGGUCUGGUGGCGAGUGGCGAACGGGUGAGUAAUACAUCGGAACGUGCCCAGUCGUGGGGGAUAACGUAGCGAAAGCUACGCUAAUACCGCAUACGAUCUAAGGAUGAAAGCGGGGGAUCGCAAGACCUCGCGCGAAUGGAGCGGCCGAUGGCAGAGUAGGUAGUUGGUGGGGUAGAGGCCUACCAAGCCGACGAUCUGUAGCUGGUCUGGGAGGACGACCAGCCACACUGGGACUGAGACACGGCCCAGACUCCUACGGGAGGCAGCAGUGGGGAAUUUUGGACAAUGGGCGCAAGCCUGAUCCAGCCAUUCCGCGUGCAGGAUGAAGGCCCUCGGGUUGUAAACUGCUUUUGUACGGAACGAAAAGGCUCUGGUUAAUACCCGGGGCUCAUGACGGUACCGUAAGAAUAAGCACCGGCUAACUACGUGCCAGCAGCCGCCGUAA